GGCGCUAUAGCCAAGUUGGUAAGGCACGAGUCUGCAAAACUCUGAUCAUCGGUUCGAGUCCGAUUGGCGCCUCCA
rnacentral:tRNA from 1 species